GUGCUCACUUCGGCAGCACAUAUACUAAAAUUAGAACGAUACAGAGAAGAUUUGCAUGUCCCCUGUGAAAGGAUGGCACACAAAUUCAUGACGCGUUCCAUAUUUUU
rnacentral:snRNA from 1 species